AGGCCCCGGGCGCAGCGCUGGGGUCCCUAUCCCCCCGGGGCCCGCGAGUUAAGUCACAGCACCCUCUCCCGGCGGGAGGUGUCUCCACAGGCCUGAGCUGCCUCCUGCGGCGGAGCACGCCCUCCGGGCUCCGAGCGCACGCGCGGCCUCUCACUGAGCGAGAAAACACAGCAUGUUUAGCACGAUGACAGGGACAUAAUGAUUUGCCAUUAAAACAAUUACUACCAACAAACUAAUAAAUGUCACCGUGUAUGCAGUAGCCCAAGCCUUCUACACGUUUUCUCUUCGAGAAGAAAUGAAGUGUCCAGAGAAUGGAGAGAAGUUGACACUGCUUCCCCCGUUACAGCUGACGACCUGUUGGCACUUGAUGGUGUUUCCUGUGAUGUUCUGAUUGUGACUUUGUCAUCUGACAAAGGGUGCUUGGGCAAAAUGGACUAGGGUCCUUUCUCCAGAGUUCUGUCUUGCUUGCUUCAAAGCCCUGGCUGGGAAUCUAGUCUUCAAGGGGCUUUUGGGUAGAAUAAACAUCAGGUAGAAGGC